UUCUAAACAAAAAAUAAUAUAUUCAAUGUCAAUACCGCAAUAUCGAAAAUCAAUCUCUCAGUUGCCACCCCUCAUUAAAAAUAAUAUUUAAAGGAUAGAUAUAUAAAUAAAAAUAGAACAAGGUUGAAAAAUCAAUAGGAAGAGAAAAUCAAAAAGAUUACCAACAAAUAUUUAUUUGUAAAUUUAAAUGGCAUAAACCAUCGCCUACUAAAUUCAUGACUACCCCCUUUAGAUUUUGAUAAUGCGCGAAUCCCAGUGCCCGCGCGGUCGCGCUAAGGAUAACCAGGGACGCCUGCCUUAAAUUGAAACAAGUAGGGCCAUACCUGAUAAUAUGCAUACAGGCAAAAAUAACAGCAGAGGGAUUGACAUAAACCCUGAACUACUCAUCUAAAGCCAACGAGUCCAUAUUUACACAAGGAAAAUGCGAUGUCCUAGGAUUAAACCAGGGUGCAAAUGCUGCAAAGUGCUGGUAAUAGCUCACCUGAAGCUGUGUCGAUGCAGUCUAUAGUCAAACAAAUGUCGCUUUCUUUCGAUUUCUUCAAAGCCUUGCGAAGCUGAGUGGCCUGGAUACCCUGCACUAUCAUCCCGAUAACAAGCAGGAGAAUAAUAAAUACUAGAAUACAUGCUAUAACGAUGGCUAUGGUCUUUUGACGAGGUGUGAAAAAGGCCUGUUUGGUUUUCCCUUGGACCAAGUGGUCGUCUGGAUGGGUGGCCACUGUGUUGGAGUUUUCCUCCUGGUUUGUUAACACGUACUUAUUUAAGUCGGCCAUAAGGUUAAACGAUCAACUUGUAGCUCGGUCACCAGUGAGAUAAUGUUACCAAGCACAAGUCACACACCAAAUCACCGUUUGCAUUUAGGAUGUCGGUUCUCUUGUAGCUUUAAGCAGUUGAUGUGCUCCUAGUCCAAUGUAUCUGCUCUCCAAGAAUGCAAACAGCGUAAGAUCAGCAGGUCAACCGUUUGUGUGUACACUGAACGUAUGUAUGCAAAAUCACGGAUUUCGUGUGAGGGCGAUCUGACCUGUUCCGAGUGGGGAAGGAAACGACCGAGACCUUCCUUUCUUUCUGUGUGACUUUCACCGGCGCAACAAGCUCCUUGUGCGACACCACUCGUUCUAGUGGUUACCCACACGAUGUCCAAGGGCCAAUAUCAAAACUCGUGACUUUAUAUUAAUAUUUAAAUCUACUUUAAUUGGAAAACUUAGCAAACAAAUUCACUUUCCGCAACAAGUCAACUUCAUUUGCACUGGCCAUUGAAGGUUGCAAUUUGGUGAUUAUUUUUAUGGCUUGCCUUUUUGCAGACUGACUUGGAUGGAUGUGAGAGUAUAGAUUCGCAGUAUUUCCACGCAUGAAUAAUUCCUAGGUGCUGCUUAGUAAAUAAUACCCCUGUCAAAUAAACAGCUGCAGCACAGAGGGGUAAUAAACUGUAUUAUUAAAAAAAAUCGGGAGGGACCACAACUGGCGCCACGCAACAGCUCGGCCAUGAAACACACAGACACGACCAGCCCUCACAGAGCCAUGCCAAAAAUACCGCAAAGAAUUCUAUCUUGCGUUUUCCAAGAUAACAAACAGCAUAACAUGACAAAAACAAUGAUAAACAAUCAUUCUCUCUUUAAUUUUAAACCAAGAAAAUCGCAAUAAAAAUAAUGAGUGUGA